UAAAAUGUGCACAGAUAAUAAUUUAAAUCAAAAUCAAAUGCCUAUGAAUUUAAUUUUUACAAAAUGGCGAAAACUCAUUGCGUGUAAUCUUGAUUAUUUGUUUUCGUUCAAUUUUGUUGCUUUUUGGUUGUGAUUUCUAGUUUUUGCGUUGAGUUGAGCUUCGUAUUCCUCCGUAAAACUACUAGGACUUCGCCCCCGAUUCGAAAUAUAUAUUACCGGCCGGUAUAGUAUUUUAAGUUCCAAAAGACGUUAAUAAAAGAAUGUGUUUGUUUUGCGAAAAGGACCCUAUAAUAUUCUCGUGUUGUUUUGUGCUAGCAGUAUAUCAAGAUGCCGAGACGUUGUGUAUUAGGAUGUGAACCUUCUGGUAGGAUUCCUGCUAUUACACAACAAGAAACAAAUAUAAGCUCUGUUUCUGAAAGCUUAUCUACUGGGCCUUCAACUUCUUUCACAGUCUAUGCAACCUGUUAUGAGGAUUACAUAUGACGGUCAGGAUGAAACCAAACUUACUGCGAAAUUAUAUCAUGAAAAACAUAACCUUUAUAAAAAUAAAAAAUAAACAAAC